rnacentral:rRNA from 1 species
UACGGAGGGGGCGAGUGUUGUUCGGAUUCAUUGGGCGUAAAGGGUGCGUAGGUGGCGCUGUAAGUCAGGUGUGAAAUUUCGGAGCUUAACUCCGAAACUGCAUUUGAUACUGCGGUGCUUGAGGACUGGAGAGGAGACUGGAAUUCACGGUGUAGCAGUGAAAUGCGUAGAGAUCGUGAGGAAGACCAGUGGCGAAGGCGGGUCUCUGGACAGUUCCUGACACUGAGGCACGAAGGCCAGGGGAGCAAACGGG